rnacentral:lncRNA from 1 species
CCAACGGUCAAAAUUCAAAAUCCGGCGAAGAAAUUGAGAAACGAAGUUUUGAAAUAGAGAAGUUAAAAUCGUCGAGCCACCGAUCUCAGCGAAGGGGAACGAAGAAGCGAUGUUGGAGAAAGAUCUCAGUGGAGAGAAGACGAUGUUGGAGAAAGAGAAGAACGGAGAAAAGGACGAGAUCGUGUUCGCCGGAGAUGCUGGGUUGGUGAAGGACUCCUUCAGAAGGAGCCGAAUUCUAAACAAUACUCGUGAGGAUUCUUUUUUAUAGAUUUUUGGAGGCUUUUUUAAGUUCCUGUCGCUAAGGUAAUUGAAUUUUUUUUUUUUUUUGGGUAAGCGAUGUUUGGUAUUUGUAUACUACUGAGAAUUGAGUUUUAGGGUUAAUUCACGUACGGGGGAGUGAAGCCAAAGAUCAUUUCGCGCAGACCUAUUACAGCCCGGCCGAGUAAAAUCGAAGAUUUAUAACUCGAGGAAUUUAUGUGCAAAUAUCUCGGAAUUUAUGACUAUGAGAGAAGAUGUAAAUGCUCCCAAUCACAAUAAUUUUUUUCUUGUAUAAUAAUUUAAACAUAAAUAUUUUUCUUAUAAUCCUAAAAAGUAUUUAGAGUUCAAA